UCUUGGUCAUUUAGAGGAAGUAAAAGUCGUAACAAGGUCUCCGUAGGUGAACCUGCGGAGGGAUCAUUACACAAAUAUGAAGGCGGGCUGGAACCUCUCGGGGGUACAGCCUUGCUGAAUUAUUCACCCUUGUCUUUUGCGUACUUCUUGUUUCCUUGGUGGGUUCGCCCACCACUAGGACAAACAUAAACCUUUUGUAAUUGCAAUCAGCGUCAGUAACAAAUUAAUAAUUACAACUUUCAACAACGGAUCUCUUGGUUCUGGCAUCGAUGAAGAACGCAGCCCCCCCGUGCCCCCGCCCCGCCCGCCGCGCGCC
rnacentral:rRNA from 1 species